AUGGAGGUCUGGGCUGCUGCCUUCAGCCUGGCCCGCGCUGGCUGUGGCAGGCACGUGGGGGUGACCAGCAGAUGGGAGAUCUUGUCUGUCUGUCUGUCUGCCUCUCAAAACCAAUCAAGUCAAGAUGUUUCCACCUCCGGGGUAGGGGCAGCGCUAGACGCAAAGGCUGCAGGUGACCCGGAGGAGAAGGGGGUGGGGGUGCAUGGGGGGCGCAGCGGUGCCCGACUCCACAAGGAGCAGAAAGCGAGGGGCAGGCUCACGGGGAGCAGGGGCAGGGGUCCCCAGUGCCGGGGAGGGUGCAGGGAGCCUGCACAGGCCCCGACCCGAGCCCCUGCCAGUGCUGCCACUGCCACCCGCCCACCACAGUCAGGUUUCGGGUCAUGCCCGGCCUUGUGUGCUGGCCAUGGAGGAAGCACCCAAGCAGAACCCGAACCCAGGCAGGUGCUCCACAGCCUCAAGUGUUCCGUGGCCACACAGCAGGCCUGGCUGAGGGCCGAGCCUGGGAGACGGCUCGGGGCAGCACCAGGGCGCUGGCGUGCCAGCCACGGGGGACUGAGGUCGGGCCCAGGGAAGGCUGACCAGCCCUUGGCGACUGCCGGGCAGUUAAUCUGCAGCCAAGCCGCCUGCCGAGCGCCCGCUGUACAAGUUAAUGAUAACCGGGCUCUGUACCCAGUAAACAGCCAGGCACUGACUGCUUCCCAAGCCCCCGCUGUAUCAGCAGGGACCCUCCCCUGGGCCCCGGUGGGGAGCCGCCUUCCUGUUGGGUUCCCCGGUGCACACCCUGGGAACCUAAGUACCCAAGGACCCUACACUUCCGGGGCUUCUAACCCUGCAAAACCACUCAGUCGCUGUGCUGGCAGGGCAAAUCGCACUCGGCCAGGGCCACAGAACCAGCCCAGCCACUGCCCUCCAGAGAGGUCAAGGCUGAGACCACCAGGGGCUGCACCCACGCGGGCCCCAGGUCAGUGUGUGGCGGAGCUGCCACUGGCCAGCCCACAUGUGGCACGGAAACCCUGGCACGGCCCUCGGCGUGGUGGUGUGCGUUCAGGAUGGGGGGGGAGGCUCCAGUGUGGGACGCCCCAGAACCAAGUCUGCACCCAGGAAGCCCCCGGUCCAGGCCCCAGGCCCAGACCGGAGCAGCACCAGCAUUCUCUCAGACCCGCCCCCCUGCCGGGCAAGCUUGGGCGCACACUGCACUUCCAGCUGGCACCCGGCCGCCCCGCUGGGCCGGGCAGAAACUUCACUUUUGGGGUCAGUUUCGGAGGGAAAGGCAACAAGCCGGCAAACGCCAAACCGAGAACGGGGGGCGGAGCCUCUCCCCUCAGGGAGGAGAUGAGGGCGCUGUCGGGGGGGGCCAAGGGCAGAGGCAGGUGCCACCUGCCGGACAACCGACCCCCUCCGGCCCCAGGAGAGGGGCCCCUCGCCGCUCAGCCGGUGCCGUCCCGCAGCCAGGCGGACGUGGAGACCAGCCCACGACUCACACAAUAG
rnacentral:lncRNA from 1 species